UUACCAGUUUGACAUGAACGAAAGUCCUUUUGGCACAGGUGCUGCAUGGCCGUCGUCAGCUCGUGUCGUGAGAUGUUGGGUUAAGUCCCGCAACGAGCGCAACCCUAUGUUAGUUGGUUUCUAACAGACUGCCCCGGUAAGGGGAGGAAGGAGGGGAUGAUGUCAGGUCCGUAUUGCCCUUAUACUGGGCUACACACGCGCUACAAUGGAGUACAUGGGGCAUCGCAAGAGGAGCAAUCCCAAAACUGUCUCAGUUCGGAUUGCAGGCUGAAACUCGCCUGCAUGAAGCUGGAAUCGCUAGUAACCGUAGUCAGACAUACGGUGAAUACGUCUCGGGUCUUGUACACACCGCCCGUCAUAUCACGGAAGUCGCAAGCCUAA
rnacentral:rRNA from 1 species